AUGAGAGUGGAGAUGGAAUUGGGAAGGGAGUAUGGGAGGGAGGAGUAACACAAGUGAAAACAAAAACCGAAAUCUAUUUGAAAUUGUUUUCACUUUUGUUACCCUUCCCUCCCAUCCUCUCCUUCCCUCCUCUUUCUCAUUCUCU
rnacentral:miRNA from 1 species